rnacentral:piRNA from 1 species
UCCCAACCCCAGGAGUUGUAGAAC